GGGGAAUAUUGGACAAUGGGGGCAACCCUGAUCCAGCAAUGCCGCGUGUGUGAAGAAGGUCUUCGGAUUGUAAAGCACUUUCGACGGGGACGAUGAUGACGGUACCCGUAGAAGAAGCCCCGGCUAACUUCGUGCCAGCAGCCGCGGUAAUACGAAGGGGGCUAGCGUUGCUCGGAAUGACUGGGCGUAAAGGGCGUGUAGGCGGUUUACACAGUCAGAUGUGAAAAUCCCCGGGCUUAACCUGGGAGCUGCAUUUGAUACGUGUAGACUAGGAGUGAGAGAGGAUGGUUGUAGAUUCCC
rnacentral:rRNA from 1 species